rnacentral:rRNA from 1 species
CAGUAGCCGCGGUAAAACGAAGGGGGCUAGCGUUGUUCGGAAUUACUGGGCGUAAAGCGCACGUAGGCGGAUAUUUAAGUCAGGGGUGAAAUCCCAGAGCUCAACUCUGGAACUGCCUUUGAUACUGGGUAUCUUGAGUAUGGAAGAGGUGAGUGGAAUUCCGAGUGUAGAGGUGAAAUUCGUAGAUAUUCGGAGGAACACCAGUGGCGAAGGCGGCUCACUGGUCCAUUACUGACGCUGAGGUGCGAAAGCGUGGGGAGCAAACAGGAUUAGAUACCCCAGUAGUCCCUGUCUCUUAUAC